rnacentral:rRNA from 1 species
CACCAGACUCCUACGGGAGGCAGCAGUGGGGAAUAUUGCACAAUGGGGGAAACCCUGAUGCAGCGACGCCGCGUGAGCGAAGAAGUAUUUCGGUAUGUAAAGCUCUAUCAGCAGGGAAGAAAAAAAUGACGGUACCUGAGUAAGAAGCAUCGGCUAGCUCCGUGCCAGCAGCCGCGGUAAUACGGAGGAUGCGAGCGUUAUCCGGAUUUAUUGGGUUUAAAGGGUGCGUAGGCGGACGCUUAAGUCAGCGGUAAAAUUGCGGGGCUCAACCUCGUCGAGCCGUUGAAACUGGGUGCCUUGAGUGGGCGAGAAGUACGCGGAAUGCGUGGUGUAGCGGUGAAAUGCAUAGAUAUCACGCAGAACUCCGAUUGCGAAGGCAGCGUACCGGCGCCCAACUGACGCUGAAGCACGAAGGCGUGGGUAUCGAACAGGAUUAGAUACCCCAGUAC